ACGUCUGUAGCUCAGAAUGGACAGAGCACCACUAUGACAUAGUGGGGGCCAGUGGUUCAAAUCCACUCAGACGUA
rnacentral:tRNA from 1 species